rnacentral:rRNA from 1 species
GAUGAACGCUGACAGAAUGCUUAACACAUGCAAGUCUACUUGAACUUCGGUUUGGGUGGCGGACGGGUGAGUAACGCGUAAAGAACUUGCCUCACAGAUAGGGACAACAUUUGGAAACGAAUGCUAAUACCUGAUAUUAUGAUUUUAGGGCAUCCUAGAAUUAUGAAAGCUAUAUGCACUGUGAGAGAGCUUUGCGUCCCAUUAGCUAGUUGGAGAGGUAACGGCUCACCAAGGCGAUGAUGGGUAGCCGGCCUGAGAGGGUGAUCGGCCACAAGGGGACUGAGACACGGCCCUUACUCCUACGGGAGGCAACAGUGGGGAAUAUUGGACAAUGGACCAAGAGUCUGAUCCAGCAAUUCUGUGUGCACGAUGAAGUUUUUCGGAAUGUAAAGUGCUUUCAGUUGGGAAGAAAAAAAUGACGGUACCAACAGAAGAAGUGACGGCUAAAUACGCG